AUUUGAUGCCUGGCAGUUCCCUACUCUCGCAUGGGGAGACCCCACACUACCAUCGGCGCUACGGCGUUUCACUUCUGAGUUCGGCAUGGGGUCAGGUGGGACCACCGCGCUACUGCCGCCAGACAAAUUCUNNNNNNNNNNNNNNNNNNNNGAAUCAGUGCUGAAAAUCGUCUCUCAUCCGCCAAAACAUCUUCGGCGUUGUAAGGUUAAGCCUCACGGUUCAUUAGUACCGGUUAGCUCAACGCAUCGCUGCGCUUACACACCCGGCCUAUCAACGUCGUCGUCUUCAACGUUCCUUCAGGAGACCUAAAGUCUCAGGGAGAACUCAUCUCGGGGCAAGUUUCGUGCUUAGAUGCUUUCAGCACUUAUCUCUUCCGCAUUUAGCUACCGGGCAGUGCCAUUGGCAUGACAACCCGAACACCAGUGAUGCGUCCACUCCGGUCCUCUCGUACUAGGAGCAGCCCCCCUCAGUUCUCCAGCGCCCACGGCAGAUAGGGACCGAACUGUCUCACGACGUUCUAAACCCAGCUCGCGUACCACUUUAAAUGGCGAACAGCCAUACCCUUGGGACCUACUUCAGCCCCAGGAUGUGAUGAGCCGACAUCGAGGUGCCAAACACCGCCGUCGAUAUGAACUCUUGGGCGGUAUCAGCCUGUUAUCCCCGGAGUACCUUUUAUCCGUUGAGCGAUGGCCCUUCCAUUCAGAACCACCGGAUCACUAUGACCUGCUUUCGCACCUGCUCGCGCCGUCACGCUCGCAGUCAAGCUGGCUUAUGCCAUUGCACUAACCUCCUGAUGUCCGACCAGGAUUAGCCAACCUUCGUGCUCCUCCGUUACUCUUUAGGAGGAGACCGCCCCAGUCAAACUACCCACCAGACACUGUCCGCAACCCGGGUAACGGGUCCACGUUAGAACAUCAAACAUUAAAGGGUGGUAUUUCAAGGUCGGCUCCAUGCAGACUGGCGUCCACACUUCAAAGCCUCCCACCUAUCCUACACAUCAAGGCUCAAUGUUCAGUGUCAAGCUAUAGUAAAGGUUCACGGGGUCUUUCCGUCUUGCCGCGGGUACACUGCAUCUUCACAGCGAGUUCAAUUUCACUGAGUCUCGGGUGGAGACAGCCUGGCCAUCAUUACGCCAUUCGUGCAGGUCGGAACUUACCCGACAAGGAAUUUCGCUACCUUAGGACCGUUAUAGUUACGGCCGCCGUUUACCGGGGCUUCGAUCAGGAGCUUCGCUUGCGCUGACCCCAUCAAUUAACCUUCCGGCACCGGGCAGGCGUCACACCGUAUACGUCCACUUUCGUGUUUGCACAGUGCUGUGUUUUUAAUAAACAGUUGCAGCCAGCUGGUAUCUUCGACUGACUUCAGCUCCAUGAGUAAAUCACUUCACCUACGUGUCAGCGUGCCUUCUCCCGAAGUUACGGCACCAUUUUGCCUAGUUCCUUCACCCGAGUUCUCUCAAGCGCCUUGGUAUUCUCUACCUGACCACCUGUGUCGGUUUGGGGUACGAUUUGAUGUUACCUGAUGCUUAGAGGCUUUUCCUGGAAGCAGGGCAUUUGUUGCUUCAGCACCGUAGUGCCUCGUCGUCACGCCUCAGUGUUAAAGUGAACCGGAUUUACCUGGAACACACACCUACACGCUUAAACCGGGACAACCGUCGCCCGGCCAACAUAGCCUUCUCCGU
rnacentral:rRNA from 1 species